CACGCCGUAAACUAUGGAUGCUAGCUGUGUGUCGUAUCGACCCGAUACGUAGCGAAGCUAACGCGUUAAGCAUCCCGCCUGUGGAGUACGGUCGCAAGACUAAAACAUAAAGGAAUUGACGGGGACCCGCACAAGCGGUGGAGCGUGUUGUUUAAUUCGAUGGUAAGCGAAGAACCUUACCCAGGUUUGACAUCCUUCUAAUCUUUCCGAAAGGAGAGAGUGCCUUCGGGCCGAAGUGACAGGUGC
rnacentral:rRNA from 1 species